GGGGGCAACGUCACCCUGUCUGUCCAGGGGAUCCCUCAGAAUCUCAUCUCCUACAAUUGGCUCCGAGGAGCAACCACCAAUCAGGUUACCCGGAUCCUCAAUUUUAACUUCUUCAGCCAUGGCUACACCCUAGGACCAGCCCACACUGGCAGGGAAACAGGCAGAGCUGAUGGCUCCCUGAUCAUUAUUGAUGUGCGUGCAUCUGACAAUGGCAUCUACACCCUGCAUCUCAUCUCUUCUGGUGAAAACAGUUGCCAUCAU
rnacentral:lncRNA from 1 species